CCGACGGUGAGGGACGAAAGCUGGGGGAGCAAACCGGAUUAGAUACCCGGGUAGUCCCAGCUGUAAACGAUGCGCGUUAGGUGUGUCAGUGACCACGUGUCACUGAUGUGCCGAAGGGAAACCGUGAAACGCGCCGCCUGGGGAGUACGGUCGCAAGGCUGAAGCUUAAAGGAAUUGGCGGGGGAGCACCACAACGGGUGGAGCCUGCGGUUUAAUCGGACUCAACGCCGGAAAUCUCACCGGAUAA
rnacentral:rRNA from 1 species